GACGAACGCUGGCGGCGUGCUUAACACAUGCAAGUCGUACGGUAAGGCCCUUUCGGGGGUACACGAGUGGCGAACGGGUGCGUAACACGUGAGUAACCUGCCCACAACUUUGGGAUAACGCUAGGAAACUGGUGCUAAUACUGGAUAUGUGCUCCUUCUGCAUGGUGGGGGUUGGAAAGCUCCGGCGGUUGUGGAUGGACUCGCGGCCUAUCAGCUUGUUGGUGGGGUAGUGGCCUACCAAGGCGGCGACGGGUAGCCGGCCUGAGAGGGUGACCGGCCACAUUGGGACUGAGAUACGGCCCAGACUCCUACGGGAGGCAGAAGUGGGGAAGAUUGCACAAUGGGCGCAAGCCUGAUGCAGAAACGCCGCGGGCGGGAUGACGGCCUUCGGGUUGUAAAACGCUUUCAGCAGGGACGAAGCUUUUUGUGACGGUACCUGCAGAAGAAGCACCGGCUAACUACGUG
rnacentral:rRNA from 1 species